GAUGAACGCUAGCGGCAGGCCUAACACAUGCAAGUCGAGGGGUAGAGUUAGCUUGCUAACUUGAGACCGGCGCACGGGUGCGUAACGCGUAUGCAAUCUACCUUGUACAGAGGGAUAGCCCAGAGAAAUUUGGAUUAAUACCUCAUAGUAUCUUUACCUGGCAUCGGGUAAUUAUUAAAGUUCCAACGGUACAAGAUGAGCAUGCGUCCCAUUAGUUAGUUGGUAAGGUAACGGCUUACCAAGACAAUGAUGGGUAGGGGUCCUGAGAGGGAGAUCCCCCACACUGGUACUGAGACACGGACCAGACUCCUACGGGAGGGCAGCAGUGAGGAAUAAUUGGUCAAUGGACGCAAGUCUGAACCAGCCAUGCCGCGUGCAGGAAGACGGUCCUAUGGAUUGUAAACUAGCUUUUAUACAGGAAGAAACAACUCUACGUGUAGAGUCUUGACGGUACUGUAGGAAUAAGGAUCCGGCUAAACUCCGUGCCAGC
rnacentral:rRNA from 1 species